UAUAGCGUAUAUUAAAGUUGUUGCAGUUAAAAAGCUCGUAGUCGGAUUUCGGGCUCGGGCAGGCUGUCGGCCUCGGUCGGACGGCAGGCUCGGGCCUUUCUGCCUGGGGACUCCGUCACACUUAACUGUGGGGCGGUUGGACGCAGGCCGUUUACUUUGAAAAAAUUAGAGUGUUCAAAGCAGGCCUACGCUUGAAUACAUUAGCAUGGAAUAAUGGAAUAGGACUUUGGUGCUAUUUUGUUGGUUUAUGGGACCGAAGUAAUGAUUAACAGGGACAGUUGGGGCCGUUUAUAUUUCGUUGUCAGAGGUGAAAUUCUUGGAUUUACGAAAGAUAAACUUCUGCGAAAGCAUUCGGCAAGGAUGUUUUCAUUGAUCAAGAACGAAAGUUAGGGGAUCGAAGACGAUCAGAUACCGUCGUAGUCUUAACCAUAAACUAUGCCGACUAGGGAUCAGUGGAUGUCAAUUUGCGACUCCAUUGGCACCUUGUGAGAAAUCAAAGU
rnacentral:rRNA from 1 species